rnacentral:rRNA from 1 species
UUGACCUCAAAUCAGGUAGGACUACCCGCUGAACUUAAGCAUAUCAAUAAGCGGAGGAAAAGAAACUAACAAGGAUUCCCCUAGUAACUGCGAGUGAAGCGGGAAAAGCUCAA